GCCGUUGUAGCUCAGGGGUAGAGCAACGCAUUCGUAAUGCGUGGGUCGUAGGUUCAAUUCCUAUCAACGGCACCA
rnacentral:tRNA from 1 species